rnacentral:rRNA from 1 species
CAGCCGCCGCGGUAACACGUAGGUGGCAAGCGUUGUCCGGAAUUAUUGGGCGUAAAGGGCUCGCAGGCGGUUUCUUAAGUCUGAUGUGAAAGCCCCCGGCUCAACCGGGGAGGGUCAUUGGAAACUGGGAAACUUGAGUGCAGAAGAGGAGAGUGGAAUUCCACGUGUAGCGGUGAAAUGCGUAGAGAUGUGGAGGAACACCAGUGGCGAAGGCGACUCUCUGGUCUGUAACUGACGCUGAGGAGCUAAAGCGUGGGGGGCGAACAGGAUUAGAUACCCGAGUAGUCCCUGUCUCUUAUAC